rnacentral:rRNA from 1 species
AUUCCAGCUCCAAUAGCGUAUAUUAAAGUUGUUGCGGUUAAAAAGCUCGUAGUUGGAUUUCUGCUGAGGACGACCGGUCCGCCCUCUGGGUGAGUAUCUGGCUUGGCCUUGGCAUCUUCUUGGAGAACGUAGCUGCACUUGACUGUGUGGUGCGGUAUCCAGGACUUUUACUUUGAGGAAAUUAGAGUGUUUCAAGCAGGCACACGCCUUGAAUACAUUAGCAUGGAAUAAUAAGAUAGGACCUUGGUUCUAUUUUGUUGGUUUCUAGAGCUGAGGUAAUGAUUGAUAGGGAUAGUUGGGGGCAUUCGUAUUUAACUGUCAGAGGUGAAAUUCUCAGACCAGCGGAAGACGAACCACUGCGAAAGCAUUUGCCAGGGAUGUUUUCAUCG